rnacentral:rRNA from 1 species
AGUUUUGAUCCUGGCUCAGAACGUACGCUGGCGGCACGCCUAACACAUGCAAGUCGACACGAAGUAGCAAUACUUAGUGGCAGACGGGUGAGUAACAUGUAGGUAUCUGCCCUUUGGCCUGGAAUAACACGAGGAAACUUGUGCUAAUACCGGAUAAGUCUUUACGGAGAAAGCUUUAUGCACCAUUGGAUGAGCCUGCACUUGAUUAGUUUGUUGGUAGGGUAAUGGCCUACCAAGACUGUGAUCAAUAGCUGAUUUGAGAGGAUGAUCAGCCACAUUGGGACUGAGACACGGCCCAAACUCCUACGGGAGGCAGCAGUGGGGAAUCUUGCACAAUGGAGGAAACUCUGAUGCAGCGAUGCCGCGUGAGUGAAGAAGGCCUUUGGGUUGUAAAGCUCUUUCGUCGGGGAAGAAAAUGACUGUACCCGAAUAAGAAGGUCCGGCUAACUUCGUGCCAGCAGCCGCGGUAAUACGAAGGGACCUAGCGUAGUUCGGAAUUACUGGGCUUAAAGAGUUCGUAGGUGGUUGAAUAAGUUGGUGGUGAAAUCCCAGAGCUUAACUCUGGAACUGCCAUCAAAACUUUUCAGCUAGAGUUUGAUAGAGGAAAGCAGAAUUUCUAGUGUAGAGGUGAAAUUCGUAGAUAUUAGAAAGAAUACCAAUUGCGAAGGCAGCUUUCUGGAUCAUUACUGACACUGAGGAACGAAAGCAUGGGUAGCGAAGAGGAUUAGAUACCCUCGUAGUCCAUGCCGUAAACGAUGUGUGUUAGACGUUGGAAAUUUAUUUUCAGUGUCGCAGGGAAACCCGAUAAACACACCGCCUGGGGAGUACGACCGCAAGGUUAAAACUCAAUGAAUUGACGGGGACCCGCCACAAGUAGUGGAGCAUGUGGUUUAAUUCGAAGAUACCGCGCAGAAACCCUUACCAACACUUGACAUGUUCCGUCGCGACUCUUAAGAGAUUAGAGUUUUUCGGUUCGGCCGGACGAAACACAGGUGCUGCAUGGCUGUCGACAGCCUCGUGUCCGUGAGAUGUUGGCUUAAAGUCCCCGCAACGAGCGCAACCCUCACUUUUAGUUGCCAUCAUUAAGUUGGGCACUCUGUUUUAACUGCCAGUGAUGGGCUGGAGGAAGGUGGGGAUGACGUGAAGUACAAAAUGGCCCUCCACGUGUUGGGCUACACACGUGCUACAAUGGUAUCUACAACAGGAAGCAAAACUGCGAAGUUAAGCAAAUCCCUAAAAGAUACCUCAGUUCGGAUUGCACUCUGCAACCUCGAGGUGCAUGAAGCUGGGAAUUACUAGUUAAUCUGUGGAUCAUUUGUUGCCAUCGGCGAAUGCGUUCCCAGGGUAUAGAGCACAAACGGCCACCACACCAUUGGGAGUUGGGUUCAAACCCGAAAGGAUAUGGGUUGUAAAGCCUCGACCACCGCAUUAGCCCGGCGACCUGGAGGGGAAGUACACAACAAAGGUUG